CGUCUUAGAAUGAGUAAAACUGCAAAGAUUGGUUGCUAAAUGUUGUAAAAUGAAGAACAUAUAGCCCUGUCCAGUUCGCAAAUUUUGUAUAUAUUUGUAUUACGCGCGGUAAAAAUAACUUUCGCUCAAAACUGGUUAUUUUUCCCGCGCGUAAUGCAAAUAUAUGCAAAAUUUGCGAACUUCACAGAGCUAUAUCUUCCUCAUUUUACAACAAUUCACAACCAAACUUUGCAAUUUUACUCAUUUUAAGACG